rnacentral:rRNA from 2 species
ACGGGUGCGUAACGCGUGGGAAUCUGCCCUUGGGUACGGAAUAACUCAGAGAAAUUUGUGCUAAUACCGUAUAAUGACUUCGGUCCAAAGAUUUAUCGCCCAAGGAUGAGCCCGCGUAAGAUUAGCUAGUUGGUGGGGUAAAAGCCUACCAAGGCGACGAUCUUUAGCUGGUCUGAGAGGAUGAUCAGCCACACUGGGACUGAGACACGGCCCAGACUCCUACGGGAGGCAGCAGUGGGGAAUAUUGGACAAUGGGCGAAAGCCUGAUCCAGCAAUGCCGCGUGAGUGAUGAAGGCCCUAGGGUUGUAAAGCUCUUUUACCCGGGAUGAUAAUGACAGUACCGGGAGAAUAAGCUCCGGCUAACUCCGUGCCAGCAGCCGCGGUAAUACGGAGGGAGCUAGCGUUGUUCGGAAUUACUGGGCGUAAAGCGCGCGUAGGCGGUUUUUUAAGUCAGAGGUGAAAGCCCGGGGCUCAACCCCGGAAUAGCCUUUGAAACUGGAAGACUUGAAUCUUGGAGAGGUCAGUGGAAUUCCGAGUGUAGAGGUGAAAUUCGUAGA